GCUACUUUCAUUGUUCCUUGCUGUGGCUACAGUUUCAUGGACUAAACACGCUGUUCUGGUGUGCUUUGUAUGGAUUUUUUAGACAAAGGUGCUGUGGCCAGGCUGGGUGCUUGUGUUGGCUUGCUGGGAGGGAGGAUACGGCUGGGAGCAGGGGAGGAACGGCACCGUUUCCUUCAGCGGCGCAGGCACCCUCGGGUGUCUGUGGAUCUAUAGCCACAGGACUUGUGUACUUGCUUGGGUACUUCCAAGCACGAAGGGUUCCUGUGAUUUCCAACUCAGGACAGGCGUUCUGGACACAACGCAGACGCACAGUACCACACCUACAGCUGAAGGAGCACCCAAGAGGACAAACGUGACCACUCUUCGAGAGAGAGAGAGAGAGACAGAGAGCCACUGGUGAGAGCCGGAGCAGAAAGCCUCGCCCCACGGUAUGCCGUUCCUCCCCGGGGUGAGUAACCCUGCUUGGUGGUGCCGUCAGAGGAGCGAUGGGCGCUUUGCAGGGCUCGCUUCGACAUCAUUUCCAUCCCCAGGACUCCUUGGAACAGCAACUGCACACCGAGAUCCUAAGCGCGGGGUGAUGCAGAAACUCUGAACAAAGAAUAACCCAAGUGUAGCAAUUGCUAGUGGGUAAUGGUACUUCAGAGAGCAAAUUUUGG